rnacentral:rRNA from 1 species
CCCGCUGAACUUAAGCAUAUCAAUAAGCGGAGGAAAAGAAACCAACAGGGAUUGCCUCAGUAACGGCGAGUGAAGCGGCAACAGCUCAAAUUUGAAAUCUGGCCUCGCGUCCCGAGUUGUAGUUUGUAGAGGAUGCUUCUAGCAUGGUCUGGCCUAAGUUCCUUGGAACAGGACGUCGUAGAGGGUGAGAAUCCCGUAUGCGGCCAGGUGCCUUCGCUCAUGUGAAGCUCCUUCGACGAGUCGAGUUGUUUGGGAAUGCAGCUCAAAAUGGGUGGUAAAUUUCAUCUAAAGCUAAAUAUUGGCCAGAGACCGAUAGCGCACAAGUAGAGUGAUCGAAAGAUGAAAAGCACUUUGGAAAGAGAGUUAAACAGUACGUGAAAUUGUUGAAAGGGAAGCGCUUGCAACCAGACUUGCGCGCGGCCGAUCAUCCGGUGUUCUCCCCGGUGCACUCGGUCGUGCUCAGGCCAGCAUCGGUUUCGGUGGUUGGAUAAAGGCCCUAGGAAUGUAGCUUCUCUCGGGGAGUGUUAUAGCCUAGGGUGCAAUGCAGCCUACCGGGACCGAGGACCGCGCUUCGGCUAGGAUGCUGGCGUAAUGGUUGUAAGCGACCCGUCUUGAAACACGG